UUUUAUUAUGGGAGAUGAGAGGAGUAAUCAUGCACAUAAUUCAAAACAUUUUCUUUGUUUUGAAUUUUCAUGCUUUUAUUUCGUCCACUUUUUUUUUGAUAAUUUCGUCCCACUUUUUGUUUUUACCCUUUUUGGUGGGUUGAUUUUUUUUGUUUGUAUUCGUUGCGCUGUUUAUUUGGACGGAAAAGAGGCCAGAUUCUAAUCAAGACAUA
rnacentral:lncRNA from 1 species